AGUGAACGCUGGCGGUAGGCCUAACACAUGCAAGUCGAACGGCAGCACAGUAAGAGCUUGCUCUUACGGGUGGCGAGUGGCGGACGGGUGAGGAAUACAUCGGAAUCUACUUUUUCGUGGGGGAUAACGUCGGGAAACUUACGCUAAUACCGCAUACGACCUACGGGUGAAAGCAGGGGAUCUUCGGACCUUGCGCGAUUGAAUGAGCCGAUGUCGGAUUAGCUAGUUGGCGGGGGAAAGGCCCACCAAGGCGACGAUCCGUAGCUGGUCUGAGAGGAUGGUUCGCCACACGGGAUCAGAGAAACGUUCGAGACUCCGACGGUAGGCAGCAGUGGGGAAUAUUGGGCGAUGGAGGCGUGCCUGAUCCAGCCAUACCGCGUGGGUGAUGAAGGCCUUCGGGUGGUAAAGCCCUGAUGUUGUUAGAGAAGAACAGCAGUUUAACACCCCGCUGUUCUGACGGUACCCAAAGAAUAAGCACCGGCUAACUUCGUG
rnacentral:rRNA from 1 species